CAAGAGCAGACGCGACAA
rnacentral:misc_RNA from 1 species